rnacentral:rRNA from 1 species
AGAGUUUGAUCAUGGCUCAGGACGAACGCUGGCGGCGCGCCUAAUACAUGCAAGUCGAACGGGCUGCCUUCGGGCAGCCAGUGGCGGACGGGUGAGUAACACGUGGGUGACCUGCCCUGAAGUGGGGAAUAACGCUGCGAAAGCAGCGCUAAUACCGCAUAUGCUUAGCGCUUCAGUGCGCUAAGUAAAGCCUUGUGCGCUUCAGGAGGGGCCUGCGGCCGAUUAGCUAGUCGGGGGGGUAACGGCCCACCGAGGCGAUGAUGGCUAGCCGGCCUGAGAGGGUGUACGGCCACAUUGGGACUGAGAUACGGCCCAAACUCCUACGGGAGGCAGCAGUGAGGAAUAUUGCGCAAUGGGCGAAAGCCUGACGCAGCAACGCCGCGUGGGGGAAGACGGCCUUCGGGUUGUAAACCCCUUUCAGGAGGGACGAAGGUCACACGGUGAAUAGCCGGCGUGACUGACGGUACCUCCAGAAGAAGCCCCGGCUAACUACGUGCCAGCCGCCGCGGUAAUUC